rnacentral:rRNA from 1 species
AGCAGCCGCGGUAAUUCCAGCUCCAAUAGCGUAUAUUAAAGUUGUUGCAGUUAAAAAGCUCGUAGUUGAAUUUCGGGAUCAAUAUUUCGGUCAUGCCGUUGGUAUGCACUGUUAUCAUUGAUUUCUCACCUUCUAAAGAACCGUAAUGCCAUUAAUUUGGUGUUACGGGGAAUUAGGACUGUUACUUUGAAAAAUUAGAGUGUUUAAAGCAGGCUCACGCUUGAAUACAUUAGCAUGGAAUAAUGAAAUAGGACAUCCGAUUCUAUUUUGUUGGUUUCUAGGAUCGAUGUAAUGAUUAAUAGGGAUAGUUGGGGGCAUUAGUAUUCAAUUGUCAGAGGUGAAAUUCUUGGAUUUAUUGAAGACUAACUACUGCGAAAGCAUUUGCCAAGGAUGUUUUCAUUAAUCAAGAACGAAAGUUAGGGGAAUCGAAGACGAUCAGAUACCGUCGUAGUCUUAACCAUAAACUAUACCGACUAGGGAUCGGAUGAUGUUAAUUUUUUAAUGUACUCA